GACGGAGGAUGCAAGCGUUAUCCGGAAUGAUUGGGCGUAAAGCGUCUGCAGGUGGCAGUUCAAGUCUGCUGUCAAAGACCGGGGCUUAACUUCGGAAAGGCAGUGGAAACUGAACAGCUAGAGUAUGGUAGGGGCAGAGGGAAUUCUUGGUGUAGCGGUGAAAUGCGUAGAGAUCAGGAAGAACAUCGGUGGCGAAGGCGCUCUGCUGGACCAUAACUGACACUCAGGGACGAAAGCUAGGGGAGCGAAUGGG
rnacentral:rRNA from 1 species